rnacentral:rRNA from 1 species
GUUGAACGCUGGCGGCGUGCCUAAUACAUGCAAGUCGAACGCAUUGUGGUUGAAAUGAUAUGAAGAACUUGUUCAGAUUUGAUUUUCAACAUUGCAAUGAGUGGCGAACGGGUGAGUAACACGUGGGAAACCUACCUCUUAGCAGGGGAUAACAUUUGGAAACAAAUGCUAAUACCGUAUAAUAAUUAAAACCGCAUGGUUUUAGUUUAAAAGAUGGUCUUGCUAUCACUAAGAGAUGGUCCCGCGGUGUAUUAGUUAGUUGGUGAGGUAAUGGCUCACCAAGACAAUGAUACAUAGCCGAGUUGAGAGACUGACCGGCCACAAUGGGACUGAGACACGGCCCAUACUCCUACGGGAGGCAGCAGUUAGGGAAUCUUCCACAAUGGACGAAAGUACUGAUGGAGCAACGACCGCGUGUGUGAUGAAGGGUUUCGGCUCGUAAAACACUAGUUGUAAGAGAAGAAUGACAUUGAGAGUAACUGUUC